rnacentral:rRNA from 1 species
CCAUGCGAGUCGUAUGUCCUCAGACUGCUGAGGACAUGGCGAACGGCUCAGUAACACGUGGCUAACCUACCCUCAAGACGUGGAUAACCCCGGGGAAACUGGGACUAAUCCACGAUAGGCCCAGAUUUCUGGAAUGGAAUCUGGGCUCAAAGGGUGGCAUGAGCAUGUUUCAUGCUACCGCUUGAGGAUGGGGCUACGGCCGAUCAGGCUGUUGGUGGGGUAACGGCCCACCAAACCUUUGACCGGUACGGGCCUUGAGAGAAGGAGCCCGGAGAUGGACACUGAGACAAGGGUCCAGGCCCUAUGGGGCGCAGCAGGCGCGAAACCUUCACAAUGGGCGAAAGCCUGAUGAGGUCAUUCCGAGUGCCGUCCGCUAAGGAUGGCUUUUCCCAAGUCUAAAAAGCUUGGGGAAUAAGGGGAGGGCAAGUCUGGUGUCAGCCGCCGCGGUAAUACCAGCUCCCCGAGUGGUCGGGACGGUUAUUUGGCCUAAAGCAUCCGUAGCCGGUCCUGUCCGUCUCCCGUUAAAUCUAACGGCCCAACCGUUAGGCUGCGGGAGAUACCACAGGACUAGGAGGCGGGAGAGGUGGACGGUACUCCGGGGGUAGGGGUAAAAUCCUCUGAUCCUCGGAAGACCACCAGCGGCGAAGGCGGUCCACCAGAACGCGCUCGACGGUGAGGGAUGAAAGCUGGGGGAGCGAACCGGAUUAGAUACCCGGGUAGUCCCAGCCGUAAACGAUGCGAGCUAGGUGACAGAGCAGCCUAAGGGCUGCUCUGCUGCCGCAGGGAAGCCGUUAAGCUCGCCGCCUGGGGAGUACGGACGCAAGUCUGAAACUUAAAGGAAUUGGCGGGGGAGCACCACAAGGGGUGAAGCCUGCGGUUCAAUUGGAUUCAACGCCGGGA